rnacentral:rRNA from 1 species
GACGAACGCUGGCGGCGUGCUUAACACAUGCAAGUCGAACGGAGUGGCGAACGGGUGAGUAACACGUGGGUGAUCUGCCUUGCACUUCGGGAUAAGCUUGGGAAACUGGGUCUAAUACCGGAUAUUGCAAGAUGAGCUCGCGGCCAAUCAGCUUGUUGGUGGGGUAAUGGCCUACCAAGGCGUCGACGUGUAGCCGGCCUGGGAGGGUGUACGGGCACAUUGGGACUGAGAUACCGCCCGGACUGCUACGGGAGGCAGCGGUGGGGAAUAUUGCACAAUGGGCGGAAGCCUGAUGCAGGGACGCCGGGUGGGGGAUGAAGGCCUUCGGGUUGGAAACUCCUUUCGACAGGGACGCGGUACCUGUAUAAGAAGCACCGGCUAACUACGUGCCAGCAGCCGCGGUAAUUC